UGGGGAAUAUUGGACAAUGGGGGGAACCCUGAUCCAGCCAUGCCGCGUGUGUGAAGAAGGCCUUAUGGUUGUAAAGCACUUUAAGCGAGGAGGAGGGUACUGGUAUUAAUACUACCAGGUACUGGACGUUACUCGCAGAAUAAGCACCGGCUAACUCGGUGCCAGCAGCCGCGGUAAUACAGAGGGUGCGAGCGUUAAUCGGAUUUACUGGGCGUAAAGCGUGCGUAGGCGGCUAAUUGAGUCGGAUGUGAAAUACCCGAGCUUAACUUGGGAAUUGCAUUCGAUACUGGUUAGCUAGAGUGUGGGAGAGGAUGGUAGAAUUCCAGGUGUAGCGGUGAAAUGCGUAGAGAUCUGGAGGAAUACCGAUGGCGAAGGCAGCCAUCUGGCCUAACACUGACGCUGAGGUACGAAAGCAUGGGGAGCAAACAGG
rnacentral:rRNA from 1 species